rnacentral:rRNA from 1 species
AGCAGUAGCCACGGUAAUACGAAGGGGGCUAGCGUUGUUCGGAUUAACUGGGCGUAAAGGGCACGUAGGCGGCUAUUCAAGUCAGGGGUGAAAGCCCGGGGCUCAACCCCGGAACUGCCUUUGAAACUAGAUAGCUUGAAUCUUGGAGAGGCGAGUGGAAUUCCGAGUGUAGAGGUGAAAUUCGUAGAUAUUCGGAAGAACACCAGUGGCGAAGGCGACUCGCUGGACAAGUAUUGACGCUGAGGUGCGAAAGCGUGGGGAGCAAACAGGAUUAGAUACCCCCGUAGUCCCUGUCUCUUAUAC